CUCUGUUUGCCUCACUUUUCUUAUCUGUAAAAUGAGCUGUAGCAGAAAAUGGCAAAUGAUUUCAAUAUUUUUGCCAAGAAUGGGGUCAUGAGGAGUUAGACACCACUGAAAUAAGUGAACAACAACAACAACAAUAAUAAUGAAUAAUAAUAGUAAUAAUUUAAUUCUUGAAGGCUUUGAGGCUUUUGAGAAUUCUUUAUGGGAGGAAAGAACACAAUCCUCAUUCUCAGCCAGUUUUUGCUUUUGUGUUUCAUUUUUAGGAGGAAUUAAUUGCCAGAUGAGAAUGAGACUUUGCAGUAAAGGGAAAGAAGUCAUGGAUCUGGAGCCAAAAUAAAAUGGGAGAAAGAAAAGAAUAGGAACAAUUAAACACUGCAGCUUGUCAUACUGCUACUCAUGUUCCCUACGUCUAACUGUUCUUAUGGAAGUCACUUCUUUGCUGUUCGAGAUCUCCAUGAAAACCCAACUGAGGGAAGUGAAAGAAGUCUGGAAGUACCAAAUACCUCCCAAUGCCUUCCUUCACAGAUGGCAGAGACUGGAUUUGCAGCUCACUCCACUUUGUAUUACUGCCCUCCCUGGGUUCAAUUCAAUGGAAAAAGAUGCACGCUUGCCUAGUUCCUUCUUUGGCUGUGGAGAAUAUUCUUUCAUCAUGCAUGCCUUGUGGAUAUCUAGGGACCUUACUUUGCUUAAAAUAGGUAAGUCCUUUUCAAUUGAUCAUUGUAUAAUAUUGCUGUUACUGUACACAUUGUUAUCCUAGUUCUGCUCACCUCACUUUGCAUCAGUUCAUACAAGUCUUUCCAGGUUUUUCUGUUCCUCAUUUCUUAUAGUGCAAUAGAAUUCCAUUACAACCAUAUCCUACAACUCAUUCAUCCAUUCCCCAAGUGAUGGAAAAUCCCUCAGUUUCCAAUUCUUUGCCACUACAAAAAAAACUGCUA
rnacentral:lncRNA from 1 species